CGUGUACGUACAAGCAGUGGGAGCCCCACCACCAAAGCAUUCUCUGGUGUUGAAGGCCCUGCAAAGCAGCAUCGCGGUGGCGGAGCGUCGUUUGCGACGCCCAACACACAAAACAAGCGGUGAAUGCUUUGGGGUGGGGUGACUGCGUACCUUUUGUAUAAUGGGUCAGCGACUUAUAUUCUGUAGCAAGGUUAACCGAAUAGGGGAGCCGGAGGGAAACCGAGUCUUAAUUGGGCGUUAAGUUGCAGGGUAUAGACCCGAAACCCGGUGAUCUAGCCAUGGGCAGGUUGAAGGUUGGGUAACACUAACUGGAGGACCGAACCGACUAAUGUUGAAAAAUUAGCGGAUGACCUGUGGCUGGGGGUGAAAGGCCAAUCAAACCGGGAGAUAGCUGGUUCUCCCCGAAAGCUAUUUAGGUAGCGCCUCGUGAAUUCAUCUCCGGGGGUAGAGCACUGUUUCGGCUAGGGGGCCAUCCCGGCUUACCAACCCGAUGCAAACUGCGAAUACCGGAGAAUGUUAUCACGGGAGACACACGGCGGGUGCUAACGUCCGUCGUGAAGAGGGAAACAACCCAGACCGCCAGCUAAGGUCCCAAAGUCAUGGUUAAGUGGGAAACGAUGUGGGAAGGCCCAGACAGCCAGGAUGUUGGCUUAGAAGCAGCCAUCAUUUAAAGAAAGCGUAAUAGCUCACUGGUCGAGUCGGCCUGCGCGGAAGAUGUAACGGGGCUAAACCAUGCACCGAAGCUGCGGCAGCGAACGUAUCACCCAAGACAACUUUACGGAGUUGACGAUUGACGGAGCGAAGCGACGUCAAAGCGUUCAUUAAAGUCGAGUUGGCUUAGGGAUACGUUCGUUGGGUAGGGGAGCGUUCUGUAAGCCUGUGAAGGUGUGUCGUGAGGCAUGCUGGAGGUAUCAGAAGUGCGAAUGCUGACAUAAGUAACGAUAAAGCGGGUGAAAAGCCCGCUCGCCGGAAGACCAAGGGUUCCUGUCCAACGUUAAUCGGGGCAGGGUGAGUCGACCCCUAAGGCGAGGCCGAAAGGCGUAGUCGAUGGGAAACGGGUUAAUAUUCCCGUACUUGGUGUUACUGCGAAGGGGGGACGGAGAAGGCUAUGUUGGCCGGGCGACGGUUGUCCCGGUUUAAGCGUGUAGGUGUGUGUUCCAGGUAAAUCCGGUUCACUUUAACACUGAGGCGUGACGACGAGGCACUACGGUGCUGAAGCAACAAAUGCCCUGCUUCCA
rnacentral:rRNA from 1 species